GUAUAUAAUGCCUAGUGGACAUGGCAUCUGCCCAGUAAGCGGAAUACUGUGGGUUCGAUUCCCAUCCCUGGAUACU
rnacentral:tRNA from 1 species